UACGGAGGGGGCAAGCGUUGUCCGGAAUCAUUGGGCGUAAAGCGCGCGUAGGCGGCCCGGUAAGUCCGUUGUAAAAGUCAAAGGCUCAACCUUUGAAAGCCGAUGGAUACUGCCGGGCUAGAGUCCGGAAGAGGCGAGUAGAAUUCCUGGUGUAGCGGUGGAAUGCGCAGAUAUCAGGAGGAAUACCCAUAGCGAAGGCAGCUCGCUGGGACGGUACUGACGCUGAGGCGCGAAAGCGUGGGGAGCGAACAGG
rnacentral:rRNA from 1 species